rnacentral:rRNA from 1 species
GAGAUAACUCCUACGGGAGGCAGCAGUGGGGAAUUUUGGACAAUGGGGGCAACCCUGAUCCAGCAAUGCCGCGUGAGUGAAGAAGGCCUUCGGGUUGUAAAGCUCUUUUGUCAGGGAAGAAACGGUAGUAGCUAAUAUCUAUUACUAAUGACGGUACCUGAAGAAUAAGCACCGGCUAACUACGUGCCAGCAGCCGCGGUAAUACGUAGGGUGCAAGCGUUAAUCGGAAUUACUGGGCGUAAAGCGUGCGCAGGCGGUUGUGUAAGUCAGAUGUGAAAUCCCCGGGCUCAACCUGGGAAUUGCAUUUGAGACUGCACUGCUAGAGUGUGUCAGAGGGGGUAGAAUUCCACGUGUAGCAGUGAAAUGCGUAGAUAUGUGGAGGGAUACCGAUGGCGAAGGCAGCCCCCUGGUAUAACACUGACGCUCAUGCACGAAAGCGUGGGGAGCAAACAGGAUUAGAAACCCCAGUAGUCCUCCACU